rnacentral:rRNA from 1 species
CCAAUGGAACAUCGGAUUCUACUGGCGUUCUCUUGCCGUCCCGGUGACGGUGCACGUGCACGAGUGACGCAAAAUUUGUAUCCAAAAUGACUCUCGGCAACGGAUAUCUCGGCUCUCGCAUCGAUGAAGAACGUAGCGAAAUGCGAUACUUGGUGUGAAUUGCAGAAUCCCGUGAACCAUCGAGUCUUUGAACGCAAGUUGCGCCCGAAGCCAUUAGGCCGAGGGCACGUCUGGCUGGGUGUCACGCAACGUCGCCCCAACCCCCACGCCCAUCGCAGGGCGUCGGGGGUCGGGGGCGGAUGAUGGCCUCCCGUGAGCCACGCCUCACGGAUGGCCGAAAUAAGAGUUCGUGAUGUGGCGAGCACCACGGCGCACGGUAGUUGAGUAAACAAUGCUCGAGCCCAGUCGUGCGUGCUUUGCCCCCGUGGCGAGCUCGGAGACCCUAUCGCGUCUCGGGACGCUUCCGAUGCGACCUCAGCUCAGGCGGGGCUACCCGCUGAGUUUAAGCAUAUCAAUAAG